GCUUUGGUCACAGGGACCGCCACAGUUGCCCCGGGAUGGGUCCCUGAGACCUGGGAAAGUAGGAGCUCUGUGGGAUAGUGCGUCAGAGUCGGGGUUCAGACCAGUCCUGGCCAGGGAAGUUAACACCGCGGUCUCCGGAGCCCGGGAUUCGCGGAAGGUACACCACCAGGAAAAAACAACAGCAGCAAGAAAUCUCAGACAGAUCGCCGGGGAGGCAGCGCGGGAAUCCAGCCUCAGGAGUGCGCGGACGGUGUGCCGCGCACACAACCAAGCUUAGGAGCCGACUGUUAAGAUGCCCCAGUGACACGGACAAGUUUCUCCUCUGCAACCCAAUGAGAGCUGCUGACCACGAGAGCAUCGCGGGACCGCCAAAGGAUUCUGGAAAAUGUGGUCCCGGGUGGCCAGUGUGCGCUGACCUUCACCUGAAGGUACGGCUUGAAGGAAACUUCUGGAGGGUGGGGUGGUGUUGAAGAGAAGGCACAAUUGUCACCAUUUUGUUCAACAUGGGCGUUUUCUUUGUGCAUUGAUUUGCAUUUUUAAAGGUAUUCCAUUAAAAAUAUGUUUAUCUAUUUUAA
ensembl:lncRNA novel transcript, antisense to ZNF383